rnacentral:lncRNA from 1 species
GGCGCAGGGUGAGGGGGACGUUUCUGGCUGUAGGAGCUGUGUUGGAGCUCCGUGGCAGCCUCCUGGAGUUUAACUGAGAACAGAGAGCAGGAGGACUUGUCCUUUCUUUUUCCCAUUUCCAUCAACAGGAUGUUUGUUUCAUUGGCCUGCAGAAGACAAUCAUUUUUAUAGGAUCAGAUAAGAGAAAGAGGUCAUGGGGAUGAAUAUUUUUAAUUGCAGGGGAGAUCCUGGCAAGGGACAGUGUUUUGUGUUUCUCUCUCAGCCAUCAGGCCCUGGAGUGUGUCCAGAGAAUAAGGACAACAAAGCUGUGAGAGGUCUGGAACACAAGUCCGAUGGGGAGCAGCUGAAGGAACUGGGGUUGUUCAGUCUGGAGAAGAGGCUCGGGGGAGACUUCAUUGCUCUCUACAGCCACCUGGAUGAAAGGAGGUUGUGGCAAGAUGGAGAUGUCUGGAAGCAGUUCCUGCGUGGAUCUUGUGGUAACUACAGCACUACUCCUCUAUGACUGAAAAAGGCAGUGAGUGUGGAAUGUGUGAAUGGAGCAAGCAGUUCUUGCACUUCUCUUGCUUUUCUCCAAUUGACACUUCUACUGAUGGGUGGAGAAACUCUUCUGGUUGGUGUUCUCUCUAUCCUCCGAAUGUGAAAAGACAGCAUGACUGCUGAGCUGGUGUAUGGUGUGACCACCACGCAGCUCUUCUAUAAAGGAAGGCUGGAGAGAGUGGGAUGAGAAGUUCCUGUUGUAGCCAUAAAAUGACGAGGAAACGAGCUCUUUGUCCACCAGGCUGCUAGGAAAUCCCUUGAUGAGCAGUGUUUUGACUCAGCUGGAGCCCCACAUGAGUUCCUGCAACCCCUCAGUUAGGAACAGCUGUGACAUAAAACCACAGCUUCUCUUGAAACGCUGGGUGAAACACUGCAGCCAUUGCAGUAAAGGGAUGCUUCGGUAGUAUUUUGAAUAGGAC